ensembl:lncRNA
UUCCCACUUUGCUCUGUUGACAGGUCAGCUUUAUUCUUCCCAUUUAUUUGAUGGGCACAUGUUGAACCUAGAGCAAUAUUUCUCUAUAAACAGUGUUAGGAUCUUGCACAAACUUCUUAAAAACUUUUUUUAGCCAUUUCAGGUAACAAUCCCCCACGUGGCUGUAACACCCAGAACUCUGGUGAAUGUUACAAUUGUUUUGCAGACAGGAAGUGACUGCAGCAUUAACACUAUCCAGAAGUGAGUGGUGAUAAACUCUGGCACUGCUACAAAAAAGAAAAACCAGGCUCAGAGACGCAGGAACUCAAAGAAUACACUCUGCAGUUGAGAGGAAAAACCUACACAAACUCAAAACAAAACCAGUUCAAAUAAACCUCAUUCCUUGCCAUCUAUAAACAGAGUAAGUUCAAGGGAGAAUCUUUUGGCCUCAACAAGAACCAUGGAAUGAGAUAAGAUGUUUUCUCCUUUCUUUUAAUGUGUGGACUGCAUUGGCGCCCCAUUAGAAAGGCAUUUCAAAUAUCCAUUAAUGAUUUAAUUGACUAAGUUGCAUUCUUCCCUGACUACCAUAUUGGGUUUAUCUGUGCAGAACUUCCUGCUAUUAUCUUAAGUCUCUGGCAGCUUAAUGAAGGCUGUAUGUCAGCAAACACUAUUUUUUAAAAAUUGGAGGAUAAACUUACAAGGAGUAACUGCUCCUUUAGAUCUUAGAGGUCACUCAUGCCCCAACUUGACUUGAAUGUCUGAACCAGCUGCUUCAAGAAGUCCACGUGGCUCAGGGCUGUAAAAUCAUGUUCACGUGGAACAUUCCUCUUGGGGCUUGAAAUACAAUCUGGUUAACAGACUUACAUCUUCGUGUCCUAGGUACCCAUCAAAAUACCCAACACGAAAAUUUUUGUGCUAAAUAUUUUCAAAUCUAUAUCAUAUCGAAUUUCUAUAGGAAAGUCAGUGUUUUGUUUUUUCUCUUAAAAAGGAACGGUCACUUCCAGUCUGCAGUGAUAUACCUGAAGUCUUAGACCUGUGUUUUCUGGGAGCUGUAACUGGAAUUCUCUAUAAGCCAAUUAAACUCCUUUUGACGAGUUCAGGGGAAUCAGCGUGUUUGUGUUGGCUUGCCGGGCCUUCAAGGCUCACAGACUUAGCCAGCUCAGGCACAGUUCGGCAGCCAGAGAAGGCAUUAGUCUCCCCCACAUAUCUACCCUGCAGGCUUCAUGGUGAAGAGCAAUGCCAGGGAGUUCAAGUGAUUACUUGCUUUAGGGAAACAAAAGCCAACAACCCAAGAAUCAACGUCCCCAAGAAAAGGUCAAUAGGCCUCAGUGCUGUAAUGGAUGUAACAAAUAUUUAAAUAAGGAUAAUAUAAAAAUGUGUUUGCUCAUUGAUUUAUUUCCAAUGACUUGGCUUUCACUCCACUGAGUGGUUCACAAAUUCAAACUUGAUUUCUGCUGACACGUUAGCCACACCGCUUCUCUUUUCCUUCCUUCCAUCUGCCUUUCAAUCACAUUUCACAGUCCCUUCCAAAAGGACCACAAAGUAUAGCACCAGCGAUAUUCUCAGUCUAUCAAAUGACUACAUAUUAAGUGGCUUUGUAAAGCAGUGAACCUGAGCCAAGUUUCUGUACAAUGCCGAGGAAAAGCCAGGGCUCUGGAGAGACUGGUCCAGGCCACAGGGAAUGGCCAGGCCCACUUCAAUCCUAACCAUCAGAGUAGCUUCUUCCCUUCCCAAAGCUUGAGUCCUACGGGAGGAAGAAGACGAGGAUCUCCUUGAAUUUAGAAUUGCAAUACGUCUCAGCUGGAAGGGCCCCAAGAGAUCCCCUAGUUUAGCCCAAGGAAGCAAAGUUUGGGCCACUAUAAAGAGAACUGCCCAAGAUCCUCAACUGAUAUACAGGGGAAAACAAGAGAGGAAGAAUACUGGCCUUCAGGAUGCUGCCCGCUUCUCCCUUCUGCCCACCCAGCAGCAUGCAAGCAAGCAUGCUUCAACUUAAUCAUAAGUGAACCUCAAACCACAGCUGAGGAUUGUUUUGAUUCUUGCUUGGAAAUAAUCCCAGUGCCUUCUUGGGUGGAAUGAAGUAUGUGAGGUGGGAGAAGAGGUCCCAGGCGGGAUUAUCUGCUACACAGACUGAUCUUUGUACCCACUUCCAUGUGCAUUCCCAUGCGCUCUGUCUUCGAAAGCCAUGGGGUGCUAGUGGUUCUCUCCCAACAUUUUUUCAUGAAAAUUUCCCGUGGGCACUCCAGCACCAUGUCAAGAUCAUUGACUGUAGACUCGUCACUACACCCACUGGUCUCUCAAAGAGGACAGAAAAAGCUACAGCCUUUCACUACAGUUCUUCUUUCAACUCAGGAGACUGGUAAUUUGUUGAGAAAUAGCAUCUACUCCGACUAAUCAACUCCAAACCCAGAGGAAGAACAUUGGGUUCUUCAGAUGAACUGUGUCCUGUGACAAAUUCCAUGUAUGUUCAUAAUAAUGAAAUGGGUUAUUAUUAGGAAAUCUGCUAAAUAGCUGGAAUUACAACCUUCCACAGUAUUAUCACUGUUAGAAAUGUUGAUGUAACAAAAAUUGAUUAGGGAGAGAAAUAAAGACUGCUUGGGGAACUAUUAAUAGGCUUAGAUUCAUGAACAUUUAUUGAACAAAAGAUAUUUUCCAGAUGCUCUGUGUCUUCACGGAACAAAAUAAUAACUGAAGCUGAAACUGCCUCGUGGCGGAUGUGGGAUCACUAUAAAGGAGAAUUCCCUCCUGAGGGGCUGAACGGAGGUGGGAAAAUAUUAUGUCCAAGACUUUUCUGAAAAUAGGACCAAUGCACCAGGAUAGUUGUAACCUCAGCUUACGGCAGGAGUUAGAUGAGCUGGCCUAUCAGGGCCUCCUAAUUGUUUCUUUUUUCCUUCAGGAGGGGAUAAAGGCCACCUCAGAAGAGAAAGUCCCUGACAUUCAACUAAUCUGCUUUGUACCAUGUUACAAAUAAAAUUUAAGGAAUCUAACAGACUCUUAAUGAAAAAAAUAAAUCUUGAGAAGUUAUUAUCUGGGAAACCUGGCCAUUGUCUGAGGACCUGGUUGCCUAUAACAGCCUACAUUUGCCUGGUGGGAUUGCCAGGGGAUCAGAUAUCAGACCAUAAAGUUGCUAACAGAACUGAAGCAGCUUGAUGGAAGGGAGAGCAUCAAUCAAUUAGAAAGUCUGUGUAGGCAAAGCAGAGGUGGGGGUGGGAGGUGCCUGCUUGAAACCCUUAAUUCGGAAAACAGAAGGUCUCCGUGGAAUUUUUCUAUAGGCUACAGCGAGAGGCCAAGUAAAACCAGGUGCUGGGAACAGGUGAUGAGCACUAGCCUGGACGGCUCUAAAUUAAGGAUGUAAACCACUUGUUUCCUCCAAAUUACUGCAACCGGAAAUUUAGUUCUUUCUUUCAAUGAUGACUUAUUAUAAAACCCUCUCAUUUUAAGUUGUCCAUGUUUGGUGGCAAACAAGAAAACAGACAUCAGCAGAAACGUAUAAACAUAAGAGUUAUUUUGCCUCACUUUCUGGAUUUCAGAGGCAGAUGGUUGAAUUUAUCUUACGCCUCGGUCCACAGCCUAUUACCAUCAUGGAUCCAGGCAAGGCUGCUCUCUUGUUUUACUUACUGUUGCCUUCUUUUUUUCUGAUUUCCCACUCCCAUUCUCCUCCUCCCACAGGCAAGAGUUUUAAUGCAUUUAAUAUGUAUCCUCAAAUUUGUAGGUAUCUCUGUCAAACGUAGAACUGUUUAGUGUGUGUAUGUAUAUUUUUAAUUUACACAAAUGGCAUUGGGCUAUGAACCACGUGUUUUUUAAUUCACUGCUGUGUGUUGAAGCUCUGUCCCUGUUGCUACGAUUACAUCAAUUUUGUGC